AUUAAACAGGCAUAUCAUCUAAAAGUUUUUCAAAACUGCAUCAAAACAAGUCUCUGAAUCACAGAAACAGAUUGUCUGAAAACAUGACACAUACAUAUUUCACUAAUUCACUGGUCAGUUAUUACUCAUAACCUCAUUGCUAUCAUCUUGAUUCAUCGGCAGUCAUUUCAUUAAAGUCAAAAUAGGACAUCAUGUUGUGGCCAUGUGACCAGUAACUAUGGGAACCCAAACAUCAUUUGCAUAAAGCUCCCUGGAAAAUUCUGUGACUCAUCCUAAUAAGUCAUUGGUCUAAUUACUACCAGGGCUAAAGUCAUCCUAUCUCUUCAACCUACUUGUUAUGUAAAUUGAACAUAUAGGAAGACAGAUGGACUGACAGAUCAGAAACUACAGGUACAAGAUGCUCAUUAUUGAAUACAAAUACAUAGAGGCAACUAAAAGCCAUAAAAGGUGGAAAAUGUGAAAAGUGCCAUUACACAGAUGGGUUGAUGCAGCCUAAGGUCACUACCAGUGAAGAAUACCAUACCAGAAUUCAUACAAGCUAAUCAUCAGACAGCUCUGAUGAACCAUCAGUUAAAAACCAGGCUGCACGAGAUUGUAUUUUAGGCCCAGUGAUAGAAUAAAAUGAGAUCUUCGGGUCAGACUGAUCCAAGAGUCAGAUUUCACUCUCAUCCAAUACACAAUAUAACCAUUAUGGAUGCUCCCAUAAAAAAGCCCAGCUCAUUGCAAUUGAGAACUACACAGCAGAUAGGUUAAAUAGAGCACCAGUCAUGCUGGCUUUAAAUAUUCUGGUUAAAAAAUUCUACUGAAUAAUACACAUGUGAACUUCAGAAUGUCUUGCUUAAACUAUAUAUGAUAUAGCCCUGACCUUCUAACCUUUGACCCUGAUCAAAUUUUAAACUGUUUUAAAAUACAUGGAUAUCUGCUGCAUUAGCUACCAUUAAAAACACCUGGUGUUACACACUGCAGGCAAAACAACCAUGUUCUUCAAAGUACAUGUAUAACGUAUAUAUAUAACUCAAGGGGACCCAACAAUUUACUGAACAAAUUGUAAUGAUCAUCUCGUCUCCCUCACAUAAAAAUACCCAAGGACAAAGAGAAUUUAAAGAAUAAAAGAGUAAAGCUAAUUUCUGAUAUUCUUUUUUAGAUGACCCACACAGUAAAGCAUACCUAAGGGACUUUUGGACAGUGUCCAUUUAUAUCAUCACAACAGGAACACAAAAAGACGAAGGCUGUUAAGGUGCGAUUACUCUGGCUCCAAACUGAUAAACAAAUUGAAAAAAAAAAGAGAUAAGAGAAUGUCACAUCCAAGAGGAAUAAAAGAUACAAAGGAUGAGUUGGGGAAAUCCUCCAGGGUUGUGAAUGUUAUGGUUCCCAAAAUGUGUGGUUCAUUCUGAUUUACGUGUUCUUAACUAUAUGUGUUAGGCACUUUCUUAUUCAAAUCAAGAUUUUUAUUCUUAAUUAAGUACAGAAAAAUUGUUAUUGGAAAAACAGGAACAGCAGUCAAUUUGGUGAAGAAUGAAUGAAUGAUGAAAUAAAUAGGUGAAUGAAUGUGUGUCCAGUGGCAUGGUCAGCAGUGGCUAGCGGACUUCCUGUUAUAAUGAAGCUUGUCACGAUGUUCUGACACCUGUAAAUAGUGGCAGUAAUCUUAUAAUUUGACCCUUCCUCUUCUUCUCCGCUUCCUGUUCUGAAAACCCAACAUUUUUUCCCACAGUGUGUCAGUCUAUUUAUACCCACACUUCAAAUAUAAAAACUUGUUUGGAAAUUAUAGUCUGAUACAUCUCUUAAAUGACAACCCCACAUCAUAACCCUAAGUGUAAAAACUUGAUUUUAAAGUUAAACUGCACAGAGAAUAGAAAGACAAGCAAUAAAUUGCAUUAUGCAUUUGAUAAAGAAUGACAUGCCUUAAAAUUACAUGGUAACACCCUUUUAAGGAGCAUGGGUGUGUCACUGAAGUGGUUUCUUUGGUAGGUAAUAGAUUCUUUCUGUCAUCUCUCUUGGUGCUUGGGGAGUUUUGUAUUUGAAGGAAGGGGAGAGCUGCUUCCCUGAAUAAUCAUAUUUGUACAAAAUUUUUCAUUAUAGAAGAAAUAUAAUCACAUAUGACAUCUAGUGAGCCUCGGACCUUCCUAUGAACAAAUUAUUCUUAACCACUAUCUAGCCUUAUCAAACAAUCAUACACACAAAUACCACUAUACAUGUACCUGCAUCAGCCUAAAGACAAAUCCUUUUAUGUUGAUAAAAUAGCGGGGAAAAAAGCAAUCAAUGGUUCUGACGGAAGAAAUGAUACACAUUUCCCUUUCCUUGAAGUUUUAACAAUAUGCAGCUAAUUUAUCAUUAGAGUCGUCAGUGGUUUGAACUAUAAAUUUCUGUUACGACAUGGUACUGUAACAUAUCACCAGAGGGUGUUUAACAACAUGGUUAAGUUUCGUUUAGCAUGUAACUGCAACUUAUGAUAGGGUCAUAUUAAAAGACAACUGGAUCAGAGUUAAUGGUGAGAUUACAGUCAUGGCUUUACUAUGCUUAGUUCCUCCAAUCUUCACACACCUUAUUCACCUUGUCUCAUUCAUAUCACAUAGGCCACACACAACUCACUGGGGUUACAUUGCAGUCUGCCCACAUACCACCCCCUUCCUGGACUUUGGACUUGCAUUCAUCUCAAUACCCCCUCCCCUCCCACAUCAAAACAACAAAGGACUUUGACAAUAUUGCCACACCCAUCUUACCAGUAAGCCCAAACCCAAUCAAGAACUUCUCAGAAGAAUUUACCUCAGUCUAAAAUCUCCCCUCUUCACCCCCUGCCAAUCUACCCAAACCAUGCCCUAUAACCUUAAUGUAUAGACAUUUUUUUUGCUCUGAGACACCUACCAAGAACUUCUGGGGUAUUCUUAAUUCUAUACUAAGAUAAAAUAUACAAUAAUUUUAUUGGGUCCAAACCAGAUAAUACCCUAAUGCAGGUUCUUUGUACCUAACCACCUAAAAGAGAGACACAUGACAAAAGACCACCUUAAAAUCAGAUCUCAAUAUCUCAUUCAAAUGUCACAGGCCCCUCUCCCAUUGCACCUGCCAAAGUGAUAACUGGAGUAAAGAAAUUGACAAAUGUGAACCAUUGUGGUCAGCAUAGCCCUUAGAAUCAUAAAGUUUCAGUGCUGUGGUGUUUGUGGUUGACAUCAGGGUUCUUGUCAUUAAAUUUGGGGAGCAGUGGUGCUGUGAACUUUUUUAUAUACAUAAAUAACUGGGUAGGUGUAUCAUGGGGGGACAUGAAGGCACAUGAGCAUGAGUAACAGGAAGAAUAAGAGUUGGUAAUUACGUAAACUUUAUAAUCCAGAUUGUAUGUGAGUAAAUAGUAAAUAAACCAUUGAGAGGUGUUACAUAAUCACACAGUACUAUCAUGGAAGUCUAGCUGGGGUAAUGGGUUCUUUCACCUUGGAUUUAUUUCCUGCAAUUUUCUGUGUGGAGGAGUUCAAAUAGAGGACUUCCCCUCCUGAUGCUGCUAUGACUUGUGUAACUGUUGGGUCGGCCAUGUUAAACCACCAUCUAAUGAUGUAAUGAGCACCACUGAAGUGUUAUCAGAGGGAAGAUAAUUACCCUGCCAGUACCAUCAAAAAAAGAACAAAUCUAUGUCAGAAUCGUAACUGAAAGUCUGGGUCAAGUAUCAUUAAACUUGGCCAAACACACUUUAAGCUAAGUUUUGACAAGGGGUCACUUUAGAUACUAGAUAAGAUAAAAAAAAAAUUCAAAGAUAGACGCAAGUUUUCAGGUUACACGGUACUUAAAUGAUAAGUACCCCAGUUAACCUUACAACCUCCAGACAAGGGGUAGGAGGGGGAGAUGGCUCCAACAGAUACCCAAGUUAAUACAAGCACCUCCUAGCUCUAGAUAAAUCUGAUCCAAGAUGAUUCAUCCAAAGAUCAGAAUCCACAGUAGUUAGCGAGGAAGUCACAGCAAAGCUGUACCAUGCAAUUUCUGUGGUUUCCUUCACAGUUUUAAUUGGAAACAUUUUUAGUUCAGGCAUAUAUAUCUCAGGCUUUAGUGCUGCUGUUAAAGGGUAAUCCUAUCAUCUAUAAAAAGAAUUAGA